rnacentral:misc_RNA from 1 species
AGCAGCCGCGGUAAUUCCAGCUCCAAUAGCGUAUAUUAAAGUUGUUGCAGUUAAAAAGCUCGUAGUUGAAUUUCGGGGUUAGUAGGUUGGUCAUGCCUCUGGUAUGUACUGGUCUCACUGAUUCCUCCUUCCUGAUGAGCCGUAAUGCCAUUAAUUUGGUGUUGCGAGGAAUUUGGACUGUUACUUUGAAAAAUUAGAGUGUUUAAAGCAAGCUAACGCUUGAAUACAUUAGCAUGGAAUAAUGAAAUAGGACGUUCGAUCCUAUUUUGUUGGUUCCUAGGAUUGACGUAAUGAUUAAUAGGGAUAGUUGGGGGCAUUAGUAUUCAAUUGUCAGAGGUGAAAUUCUUGGAUUUAUUGAAGACUAACUACUGCGAAAGCAUUUGCCAAGGAUGUUUUCAUUAAUCAAGAACGAAAGUUAGGGGAUCGAAGACGAUCAGAUACCGUCGUAGUCUUAACCAUAAACUAUGCCGACUAGGGAUCGGAUGAUGUUAAUUUUUAAUGACUCAUUCGGCGCCUUAAC